AUUGAACGCUGGCGGCAGGCCUAACACAUGCAAGUCGAGCGGAGCGGCGGACGGGUGCGUAAUGCCUAGGAAUUUGCCUGUUAGUGGGGGAUAACUUCCGGCAACGGGCCCUUAUACCGCAUCCUAUCAGAUGACCCUAGGUCGGAUUAGGUAGUGGGUGGGGUAAAGGCCUACCAAGGCGACGAUCCGUAACUGGUCUGAGAGGAUGAUCAGUCACACUGGAACUGAGACACGGUCCAGACUCCUACGGGAGGCAGCAGUGGGGAAUAUUGGACAAUGGGCGAAAGCCUGAUCCAGCCAGGCCGCGUGUGUGAAGAAGGUCUUCGGAUUGUAAAGCACUUUAAGUUGGGAGGCGGUACCAACAGAAUAAGCACCGGCUAACUUCGUGCCAGCAGCCGCGGUAAUUC
rnacentral:rRNA from 1 species